rnacentral:lncRNA from 1 species
UAUGCAUUUAUACUCUGAAACCAUUUUUAUACAUACUUAUGCCUUUUUUAUUUUUUCAGAUAUCUUACCUCUUAAUGAUGUUCUGCAUCAGGCAGUACAGGCCUGUUGAUGUGCCUACUGUUUGCAGUUGUUCUAUGUGCUAAUUUAUUGGUACACAGAUAUGCCUGGACCAUUGCUAAGGUAUUUUUUUCCUGACAAUUCAUGACGAGUGCAAACUUCACUGACCAGUUCAGUACUUAAUUAUAUUCUACUUUCCCUUUCUUGAGCCAAAGCACAUUAUCAUCGAGGAUAAUGGGAGCUUGUAUCAUGAUUUUUGCUUGACCAGAUAACUGAUAGCAAUAACUUUUCUUCUGUCGGCUCAGCAGGUUGACUGAAUGUUAAUCUGACCUUUUUAUAUCAACCAGUAUUUUGAUUUUUCAGUCAGUUUGAAUUCAUGAUGAGCAGCUUAUGUUUUGGUCAAGGGAUUUUGAUUGCUGCUUUAAGAGGUGAUCAUUUUGUCCGUUUGAGGAAGAGAUUGGAUUUGGUGGGCCGAUGAAGCUCAGCUUUCCCACCAGAGGCAGAGUACUAACCAUGAUAUCGCUUGCCUUUUGACCCUGCAAGGCAGCUCAAUCAAUUUGGCAUUGCAUCCUUUGCUGGCAGCGCUUCUCUUCAUCCCAUUGAGGUCCAGAGGACGAUUCUGGCUCAAAAGACGUUUACAAAGUGAUCAUUCUGUCAAAUUCCAGAAGGCUGUUCCUCAUCAUUAUACUUAUACAGACCAAAUGGUGACUGGGGUCAGAUAUCAAAGAGAAGCAUCUCAAAGAAAAGAAUCUCACAAAAGCGGCACACAAAGGUACCAUCCCUUAGCUAGUUAGUUUGCUCACCUUCUCUGUUUUAUUAAAACGACCCAGUCUUUUCUGUAUCCUUGAGCUGGUGGGAAGGGACGAUACGAUUCAAUGACAACACAUAAAGCAUAAGCCUUCCACCAAAAACCAAAACGAACAAGCAAAAAAGAGUAAAGGACGUGAAGCCUAGCUUCUUUUUUUUGUCUCCUAUAUAUGUCCAACAAGUUGGCCACACUACCGCAUGCUUUUCCAGUAAAAAAAAGGGAGAGUUGGUUUUCUUUUUUCCGAGGUGAUUGGUGGCACUGGCAGAUUUUCCUUUCGGCAUAAGCUGUUAUAUUAUUGUUAUCAUGUACCCCUCCGUUCUUUUUUAGUCGCGUUUUAGUUUAAAAAUGAAACGACAAAUAUUCGAGAACGGAUGUAGUAUAUCAUCAUCAUAUAUCUAAACUAAACUAAAAGGCCAUCUAAAUCUAAAGUCUAUUGUGUUGAAAAGAAUGCUAUAGAUAUGUUCUGGUUCUGAUUCUGAUAAUAGACAGGCACAAUAUAUACGCGAUAGGAAGUGGAAGUACCGCCGUUGAUUGGGAAACAUACAAAGAAGAUUGGGAAGCAUACAAAGAGGAUGACGAUUCUGCUACAUCUACAUGCAUGACUUAAGGUAUGGACACCCUACUAGAACGGUUGCUAGCUAGCACUGCACUGCCAUUAAACAGAGAAGGGGAGGAGAGGAAAACAAACAAAAAGCACCUUUUUUUGGGUUGCCUAGAUUUGUUAGCUUCUUGUUGCAGCGGUAUCUACUAGGGAGUACUAGGAUGGCAUAGAAUAGAAGAAGUGGAGGUGCCUGCCUGCUGAAACCGUUCUUUCCUCUGAACAACUCAUCUCAUCUUUUUGAUCGUGAAGUGUUU